GGUCCGUUAGCUCAAGUGGUCGAGCACCCGGCUCAUAACCGGUCGGCUCUAGGUUCAAAUCCUAGACGGACCACCA
rnacentral:tRNA from 1 species